ensembl:lncRNA
GGGGUGUAUUUAUCUCUGGGUGGGGAGGUGUGGGUUUGGGUUUAGCCCGCGGGUGUGUGUCUGUGUGGGUUUGUUUGUGUGUUUCUCUCCCAGGGUGUCCACAGUUCCGGGCAGGGUCUGUCCCUCCCUGUGAGUGAUGGCGACGGCAGGAGACCUGAGGUAGGUGGCUGAAACCCAGCCCGGGAGCUGCCUCGGAGCUGAAACGAGGGCGCCGCCCAGAUGGGAUCCAGCAGCCUGGACCCACCCUUCAGGCCCUCCCGGGUCUUUUCUGUGUCCUGAAAGUUCUGUCCGAUUCCGGAGGCACGUAGGGUCUUAGCUCCCUGACCAGGAAUCGAACCAGCAUCCCCUGCGUUGGGAAGCGAAGUCUUACCCACCGGACCACCGGAGAAGUCCCCCAGAAAGCCGCUCAGCCUGCAUCCACUGCCUCUGUUCACAGCCCAGGGCUCCGCGGUGCCCGAGGCAGACAUUUCUGGCUCUUUCACUCCGGCCCCUCCCCCAUUCCCCCUGUCUCUGGUCAGACUGGAUUCCUCUGAAUCCGUCUGGCUCCCAGAACUGGCUGCAUUUCCCCACCUUGGGCACCUUUGUCCUCGCUGUUCCCUCUCUCUGUUCUCCUUCCCCUAGUCUGGCUGCCUUGCCCAACUCCAGGGGGACCCCUCCAUGGAGAUUUCUGUCCUCAGAGUCCUCUGCUGCACAACCCAAGAAUUCAGUGCCGCCUGGAGUUGAGCCAGGCAGCUCCUCCUCCCAAUCAGGCCCCCUCCCUGGCAACCCCAUCUCCAACUCCAUCUGAUUUAACCCUCCCCUUCGAAGUCUCGUGGGACUUUGCUCCCGCUCUGGCUUUAUCGGAGGACCGCUCUGUGUAUCUUCACUAAGUAAACACCUGUUUGUUGGGCUGAAGUCCCCACAGUC